GAACGCUAGCGGCAGGCCUAACACAUGCAAGUCGAACGGUAACAUUGAUGCUUGCAUCAGCAUGACGAGUGGCGCACGGGUGAGUAACGCGUAUACAAUCUACCUUUUACAGGGGGAUAGCCUUUAAAAUGAAGAUUAAUAUCCCAUAGUAAUGUUGUUAUUGCAUGAUAUGUAACUUUAAAGUUUCGGCGGUAAAAGAUGAGUAUGCGUUCUAUUAGCUAGAUGGUGUGGUAACGGCACACCAUGGCGACGAUAGAUAGGGGCCCUGAGAGGGGGAUCCCCCACACUGGUACUGAACACGGACCAGACUCCUACGGGAGGCAGCAGUGAGGAAUAUUGGACAAUGGGCGAGAGCCUGAUCCANCCAUGCCGCGUGCAGGAAGACUGCCCUAUGGGUUGUAAACUGCUUUUAUACAGGAAGAAACCUUUUCACGUGUGAAAAGCUGACGGUACUGUAAGAAUAAGGAUCGGCUAACUCCGUGCCAGCAGCCGCGGUAAUACGGAGGAUCCAAGCGUUAUCCGGAAUCAUUGGGUUUAAAGG
rnacentral:rRNA from 1 species